rnacentral:rRNA from 1 species
UGGCUCAGGAUGAACGCUGGCGGCAUGCCUAAUACAUGCAAGUCGAACGAAGUUUCAAGGAAGCUUGCUUCUAAAGAGACUUAGUGGCGAACGGGUGAGUAACACGUAGGUAACCUGCCCAUGUGUCCGGGAUAACUGCUGGAAACGGUAGCUAAAACCGGAUAGGUAUACGGAGCGCAUGCUCUGUAUAUUAAAGCGCCCAUCAAGGCGUGAACAUGGAUGGACCUGCGGCGCAUUAGCUAGUUGGUGAGGUAACGGCCCACCAAGGCGAUGAUGCGUAGCCGGCCUGAGAGGGUAAACGGCCACAUUGGGACUGAGACACGGCCCAAACUCCUACGGGAGGCAGCAGUAGGGAAUUUUCGUCAAUGGGGGAAACCCUGAACGAGCAAUGCCGCGUGAGUGAAGAAGGUCUUCGGAUCGUAAAGCUCUGUUGUAAGUGAAGAACGGCUCAUAGAGGAAAUGCUAUGGGAGUGACGGUAGCUUACCAGAAAGCCACGGCUAACUACGUGCCAGCAGCCGCGGUAAUACGUAGGUGGCAAGCGUUAUCCGGAAUCAUUGGGCGUAAAGGGUGCGUAGGUGGCGUACUAAGUCUGUAGUAAAAGGCAAUGGCUCAACCAUUGUAAGCUAUGGAAACUGGUAUGCUGGAGUGCAGAAGAGGGCGAUGGAAUUCCAUGUGUAGCGGAAAAAUGCGUAGAUAUAUGGAGGAACACCAGUGGCGAAGGCGGUCGCCUGGUCUGUAACUGACACUGAGGCACGAAAGCGUGGGGAGCAAAUAGGAUUAGAUACCCUAGUAGUCCACGCCGU